CAACCCACUCCAGUGUUCUUGCCUGGAGAAUCCCAGGGACGGGGGAGCCUGGUGGGCUGCCGUCUCUGGGGUCGCACAGAGUCAGACACGACUGAAGCGACUUAGCAGCAGCAGUAGCGGUAGCAGGAAGUUACUAAUUUCUUCUGGGUUGUCCAGUUUUUUGGCAUGAAAUUGUUCUUAGUAAUCUUUGUGAUUCUUUGUAUUUCUAUGGUUUCAGUUGUAAUGUCUCCUCUUUUGUAACUUAAUUCUAUUUUUGUCCUGCUUUUGCUGCAUCCCAGAAGAUUGGCCUCUCAUUGUGGCGGCUUCUCUCGUGGCGCACCAGCUCCAGGUGCCUGGGCUUUGGUGGUUGUGGUGCGUGGGUUCCGUUGCCUUGCACCGUGUGGGGUCUGCCGGGACCAGGAUCCAGCCUGUGUCACCUGCGUUGGCAGGCACCGCCUGGUAAGGCCCUUGAUUUCUCUCUUAAUUUUUUCUGUGACCUAUUGGUUUGUCAGUAGUAUGUUAAGUGAGUUUUCCACUUUUUUUCUUGUAAUUGAUUUCUCAUUUCAUAUUUUCAUGGUCAGAUAAAAAUGCUUGAUAUGACCUCAGUCUUUUUAAUUUAUUAAUACUUGAACUGCGACUUAACAUAUGAUGUAUCCUGUAGACUGAUCAUGUGUACUUGAGAAGAAUAUGUAUUCUGUUACUGUUGCAUGAAGUGUUCUGUAGCAUGUUCUGAGAAUGUCUGUGGAGUCCAUCGGAUCUGAAGGGUCAUUAAGCCCAGUGUUUCCUGGUUGGUUUUCUGCCUAGAUGAUCUAUCUAUAUUUGAACGUGGGUUAUUGAAGUCUCCUGCUAUUAUUGAAUUGCUGUUUCUCCUUCAGGUCUGUAAUACUAGCUUUAUAUAUGUUAGGUGCUUCCAUGUUUGGUGCAUAAAUAUUUACAAGUAUU